UACGAAGGGGGCUAGCGUUGUUCGGAAUUACUGGGCGUAAAGCGCACGUAGGCGGAUUGUUAAGUCAGAGGUGAAAUCCCGGAGCUCAACUUCGGAACUGCCUUUGAUACUGGCAAUCUAGAGUCCGGAAGAGGUUAGUGGAAUUCCCAGUGUAGAGGUGAAAUUCGUAGAUAUCGGGAGGAACACCAGUGGCGAAGGCGGCUACCUGGCACAUAACUGACGCUGAUACGCGAAAGCGUGGGGAGCGAACCGG
rnacentral:rRNA from 1 species